rnacentral:tRNA from 1 species
UCCCUGACGGUCCAGUGGUUAGGACUUGGCACUUUAACUUCUGAGGCCCAGGUUCAAUCCCUGGUCAGGGAA